AUUGAACGCUGGCGGCAGGCCUAACACAUGCAAGUCGAGCGAGCGGCGGGCGGGGGAGUAAUGUAUGGGGACUGCCCGAUAGAGGGGGAUAACUACAGGAGACGGUAGAUAAUACCGCAUACUAUCGGAUAACCCAUAUGGGAUUAGCUAGUAGGUGAGGUAAUGGCUCACCUAGGCGACGAUCCCUAGCUGGGCUGAGAGGAUGAUCAGCCACACUGGGACUGAGACACGGCCCAGACUCCUACGGAGGCAGCAGUGGGGAAUAUUGCGAAAUGGGCGCAAGCCUGAUGCAGCCAUGCCGCGUGUAUGAAGAAGGCCCUAGGGUUGUAAAGUACUUUCAGUCGGGAGGCGUUACCGACAGAAGAAGCACCGGCUAACUCCGUGCCAGCAGCCGCGGUAAUUC
rnacentral:rRNA from 1 species